CCUACGGGAGGCAGCAGUGGGGAAUAUUGCACAAUGGGGGAAACCCUGAUGCAGCGACGCCGCGUGAGUGAAGAAGUAUUUCGGUAUGUAAAGCUCUAUCAGCAGGGAAGAAAAUGACGGUACGUGAUUAAGAAGCCCCGGCUAACUACGUGCCAGCAGCCGCGGUCAUACGUAGGGGGCAAGCGUUAGCCGGAUAUACUGGGUGUAAAGUGAGCGUAGACGGCAGCACAAGUCUGGAGUGAAAUGCCGGGGCUUAAACCCGGGACUGCUUUGGAUACUGUGCAGCUAGAGUGCAGGAGAGGUAAGUGGAAUUCCUAGUGUAGCGGUGAAAUGCGUAGAUAUUAGGAGGAACACCAGUGGCGAAGGCGGCUUACUGGACUGUAACUGACGCUGAUGCUCGAAAGCGCGGGUAUCGAACAGGAUUAGAUACCCUUGUAGUC
rnacentral:rRNA from 1 species